UACAGAGGUCCCAAGCGUUGUUCGGAUUCAUUGGGCGUAAAGGGUGCGUAGGCGGUUGGGUAAGUCUGAUGUGAAACCUCCAGGCUCAACUUGGAGCUUGCAUCAGAAACUGCCGUGCUAGAGUGUGGGAGAGGAGAGUGGAAUUCCUGGUGUAGCGGUGAAAUGCGUAGAUAUCAGGAGGAACACCAAUAGCGAAGGCAGCUCGCUGGGACGGUACUGACGCUAAGGCGCGAAAGCGUGGGGAGCGAACAGG
rnacentral:rRNA from 1 species